rnacentral:tRNA from 1 species
UUGUUGGUGGCCGAAAAAGGCAAUAGGUUGUAACCCUAUUUAUGGUAAAAGUAUCCCCAACAAA